GGUGAACGCUGGCGGUAGGCCUAACACAUGCAAGUCGAACGGCAGCACAGAGGAGCUUGCUCCUUGGGUGGCGGGUGGCGGACGGGUGAGGAAUACAUCGGAAUCUACUCUGUCGUGGGGGAUAACGUAGGGAAACUUACGCUAAUACCGCAUACGACCUACGGGUGAAAGCAGGGGAUCUUCGGACCUUGCGCGAUUGAAUGAGCCGAUGUCGGAUUAGCUAGUUGGCGGGGUAAAGGCCCACCAAGGCGACGAUCCGUAGCUGGUCUGGGAGGAGGAUCAGCCACACUGGAACUGAGACACGGUCCAGACGCCUACGGGAGGCAGCAGUGGGGAAUAUUGGACAAUGGGCGCAAGCCUGAUCCAGCCAUACCGCGUGGGUGAAGAAGGCCUUCGCGUUGUAAAGCCCUUUUGUUGGGAAAGAAAUCCAUCUGGUUAAUACCCGGGUGGGAUGACGGUACCCAAAGAAUAAGCACCGGCUAACUUCGUGCCAGCCGCCGCCGUAA
rnacentral:rRNA from 1 species